AGAGUUUGAUCCUGGCUCAGGAUGAACGCUGGCGGCGUGCUUAACACAUGCAAGUCGAACGGGAAAUAUUUCAUUGAGACUUCGGUGGAUUUGAUCUAUUUCUAGUGGCGGACGGGUGAGUAACGCGUGGGUAACCUGCCUUAUACAGGGGGAUAACAGUCAGAAAUGGCUGCUAAUACCGCAUAAGCGCACAGAGCUGCAUGGCUCAGUGUGAAAAACUCCGGUGGUAUAAGAUGGACCCGCGUUGGAUAAGCUGGUUGGUGGGGUAACGGCCCACCAAGGCGACGAUCCAUAGCCGGCCUGAGAGGGUGAACGGCCACAUUGGGACUGAGACACGGCCCAGACUCCUACGGGAGGCAGCAGUGGGGAAUAUUGCACAAUGGGGGAAACCCUGAUGCAGCGACGCCGCGUGAAGGAAGAAGUAUCUCGGUAUGUAAACUUCUAUCAGCAGGGAAGAUAGUGACGGUACCUGACUAAGAAGCCCCGGCUAACUACGUGCCAGCAGCCGCGGUAAUACGUAGGGGGCAAGCGUUAUCCGGAUUUACUGGGUGUAAAGGGAGCGUAGACGGUGUGGCAAGUCUGAUGUGAAAGGCAUGGGCUCAACCUGUGGACUGCAUUGGAAACUGUCAUACUUGAGUGCCGGAGGGGUAAGCGGAAUUCCUAGUGGAGCGGUGAAAUGCGUAGAGAUCGGGAGGAACACCAGUGGCGAAGGCGGCCUGCUGGGCCUUAACUGACGCUGAGGCACGAAAGCAUGGGUAGCAAACAGGAUUAGAUACCCUGGUAGUCCAUGCCGUAAACGAUGAUUACUAGGUGUGGGUGGUCUGACCCCAUCCGUGCCGGAGUUAACACAAUAAGUAAUCCACCUGGGGAGUACGACCGCAAGGUUGAAACUCAAAGGAAUUGACGGGGGCCCGCACAAGCAGUGGAGUAUGUGGUUUAAUUCGAAGCAACGCGAAGAACCUUACCAGGUCUUGACAUCCUGCUAACGAGGUAGAGAUACGUUAGGUGCCCUUCGGGGAAAGCAGAGACAGGUGGUGCAUGGUUGUCGUCAGCUCGUGUCGUGAGAUGUUGGGUUAAGUCCCGCAACGAGCGCAACCCCUGCUAUUAGUUGCUACGCAAGAGCACUCUAAUAGGACUGCCGUUGACAAAACGGAGGAAGGUGGGGACGACGUCAAAUCAUCAUGCCCCUUAUGACCUGGGCUACACACGUACUACAAUGGCCGUCAACAGAGAGAAGCAAAACUGCGAAGUGGAGCAAAACUCUAAAAGCGGUCCCAGUUCGGAUCGUAGGCUGCAACCCGCCUACGCGAAGUUGGAAUUGCUAGUAAUCGCGGAUCAUCAUGCCGCGGUGAAUACGUUCCCGGGCCUUGUACACACCGCCCGUCACACCAUGGGAGCCGGUAAUACCCGAAGUCAGUAGUCUAACCGCAAGGGGGACGCUGCC
rnacentral:rRNA from 1 species